rnacentral:misc_RNA from 1 species
GAAACAAUGAGUUUAUUUUUUCUGGAAGGUUGGAUAAUCUUGCUUCAAGUUUUUGUGCAUUACGAGCUCUUAUUGAUUCAUGCAAAUCUUCCAAUGAUUUAUCAAGUGAACCUGCUAUUCGGAUGGCUGCCUUAUUUGAUAAUGAAGAGGUAGGUUCAGGUUCAGUCCAGGGAGCUGGUGCACCAACCAUGUUUCAGGCCAUGAGACGAAUAGUUGGAUGCUUAGCUCAUAAUGAAGUUAGUGAAGGUGCUAUUGAGCGUGC